rnacentral:rRNA from 1 species
GACGAACGCUGGCGGCGCGCUUAACACAUGCAAGUCGAACGGAAAGGCCUGCUUUCCCUUGUGGAUUGCGGGUACUCGAGUGGCGAACGGGUGAGUAACACGUGAGUGAUCUGCCCCCAACUUGGGUAUAAGCCUGGGAAACUGGGUCUAAUUCCCGAUAGGACUGCAGGGUGGUGCCUGUGGUGGAAAACGAUUUUCUAGUGGUUGGGGAUGAGCUCGCGGCCUAUCAGCUUGUUGGUGGGGUAAUGGCCUACCAAGGCGGCGACGGGUAGCCGGCCUGAGAGGGUGGACGGCCACAUUGGGACUGAGAUACGGCCCAGACUCCUACGGGAGGCAGCAGUGGGGAAUAUUGCACGAGGGGCGGAAGCCUGAUGCAGCGACGCCGCGUGGGGGAUGACGGCCUUCGGGUUGUAAACUCCUUUCGACCGCGAGGAAGCCACCUGGUUGGAAGGGUGGUGACGGUAGUGGUAGAAGAAGCACCGGCUAACUACGUG